ACACAUGCAAGUCGAGCGGGGUGAUGUAGCUUGCUACAUUACCUAGCGGCGGACGGGUGAGUAAUGCUUAGGAAUCUGCCUAUUAGUGGGGGACAACAUUCCGAAAGGAAUGCUAAUACCGCAUACGCCCUACGGGGGAAAGCAGGGGAUCUUCGGACCUUGCGCUAAUAGAUGAGCCUAAGUCAGAUUAGCUAGUUGGUGGGGUAAAGGCCUACCAAGGCGACGAUCUGUAGCGGGUCUGAGAGGAUGAUCCGCCACACUGGGACUGAGACACGGCCCAGACUCCUACGGGAGGCAGCAGUGGGGAAUAUUGGACAAUGGGCGAAAGCCUGAUCCAGCCAUGCCGCGUGUGUGAAGAAGGCCUUUUGGUUGUAAAGCACUUUAAGCGAGGAGGAGGCUACUUAGAUUAAUACUCUAGGAUAGUGGACGUUACUCGCAGAAUAAGCACCGGCUAACUCUGUGCCAGCAGCCGCGGUAAUACAGAGGGUGCGAGCGUUAAUCGGAUUUACUGGGCGUAAAGCGUGCGUAGGCGGCUUCUUAAGUCGGAUGUGAAAUCCCUGAGCUUAACUUAGGAAUUGCAUUCGAUACUGGGAAGCUAGAGUAUGGGAGAGGAUGGUAGAAUUCCAGGUGUAGCGGUGAAAUGCGUAGAGAUCUGGAGGAAUACCGAUGGCGAAGGCAGCCAUCUGGGCCUAAUACUGACGCUGAGGUACGAAAGCAUGGGGAGCAAACAGGAUUAGAUACCCUGGUAGUCCAUGCCGUAAACGAUGUCUACUAGCCGUUGGGGCCUUUGAGGCUUUAGUGGCGCAGCUAACGCGAUAAGUAGACCGCCUGGGGAGUACGGUCGCCAGACUAAAACUCAAAUGAAUUGACGGGGGCCCGCACA
rnacentral:rRNA from 1 species